rnacentral:rRNA from 1 species
UCCCAGACUCCUACGGGAGGCAGCAGUGGGGAAUAUUGGACAAUGGGGGGAACCCUGAUCCAGCGACGCCGCGUGAGUGAAGAAGUAUUUCGGUAUGUAAAGCUCUAUCAGCAGGGAAGAAAGAAAUGACGGUACCUGACUAAGAAGCCACGGCUAACUACGUGCCAGCAGCCGCGGUAAUACGUAGGUGGCAAGCGUUGUCCGGAUUUACUGGGUGUAAAGGGCGUGUAGCCGGGCUGACAAGUCAGAUGUGAAAUCCGGGGGCUCAACCCCCGAACUGCAUUUGAAACUGUUGGUCUUGAGUAUCGGAGAGGCAGGCGGAAUUCCUAGUGUAGCGGUGAAAUGCUUAGAUAUCACGAAGAACCCCGAUUGCGAAGGCAGCUUACUAAACUGUGACUGACAUUGAUGCUCGAAAGUGUGGGUAUCAAACAGGAGUAGAUACCCGUGUA